UACGUAGGCAGCGAGCGUUUGUUCGGAGUUACUGGGCGUAAAGGGUGUGUAGGCGGUUGUUUAAGUUUGGUGUGAAAUCUCCCGGCUCAACUGGGAGGGUGCGCCGAAUACUGAGCGACUAGAGUGCGGGAGAGGAAAGUGGAAUUCCUGGUGUAGCGGUGAAAUGCGUAGAUAUCAGGAGGAACACCGGUGGUGUAGACGGCUUUCUGGACCGUAACUGACGCUGAGACACGAAAGCGUGGGGGAGCGAACAGG
rnacentral:rRNA from 1 species